CGCGCAGGCGGAUGUGAAAGUUGAGUGUGAAAUCUACGGGCUUAACCCGUAAACUGCACUCAAAACUACACGUCUUGAGUUCAGAAGGGGAGAACGGAAUUCCUAGUGUAGGGGUGAAAUCUGUAGAUAUUAGGAAGAACACCGGUGGCGAAGGCGGUUCUCUGGUCUGAAACUGACGCUGAGGCGCGAAAGCUAGGGUAGCGAACAGGAUUAGAUACCUGGUAGUCC
rnacentral:rRNA from 1 species